rnacentral:rRNA from 1 species
AAGAAAAGCUUCUAAGCUUCAGGUAACCAGGAACCGUACCCCAAACCGACACAGGUGGUCGGGUAGAGAAUACCAAGGCGCUUGAGAGAACUCGGGUGAAGGAACUAGGCAAAAUGGCACCGUAACUUCGGGAGAAGGUGCGCCGGCUAGGGUGAAGGAUUUACUCCGUAAGCUCUGGCUGGUCGAAGAUACCAGGCCGCUGCGACUGUUUAUUAAAAACACAGCACUCUGCAAACACGAAAGUGGACGUAUAGGGUGUGACGCCUGCCCGGUGCCGGAAGGUUAAUUGAUGGGGUUAGCGCAAGCGAAGCUCUUGAUCGAAGCCCCGGUAAACGGCGGCCGUAACGAUAACGGUCCUAAGGUAGCGAAAUUCCUUGUCGGGUAAGUUCCGACCUGCACGAAUGGCGUAACGAUGGCGGCGCUGUCUCCACCCGAGACUCAGUGAAAUUGAAAUCGCUGUGAAGAUGCAGUGUAUCCGCGGCUAGACGGAAAGACCCCGUGAACCUUUACUGUAGCUUUGCACUGGACUUUGAGCCUGCUUGUGUAGGAUAGGUGGGAGGCUUUGAAGCGUGGACGCCAGUUCGCGUGGAGCCAUCCUUGAAAUACCACCCUGGCAUGCUUGAGGUUCUAACUCUGGUCCGUAAUCCGGAUCGAGGACAGUGUAUGGUGGGCAGUUUGACUGGGGCGGUCUCCUCCUAAAGAGUAACGGAGGAGUACGAAGGUGCGCUCAGACCGGUCGGAAAUCGGUCGCAGAGUAUAAAGGCAAAAGCGCGCUUGACUGCGAGACAGACACGUCGAGCAGGUACGAAAGUAGGUCUUAGUGAUCCGGUGGUUCUGUAUGGAAGGGCCAUCGCUCAACGGAUAAAAGGUACUCCGGGGAUAACAGGCUGAUACCGCCCAAGAGUUCAUAUCGACGGCGGUGUUUGGCACCUCGAUGUCGGCUCAUCACAUCCUGGGGCUGAAGCCGGUCCCAAGGGUAUGGCUGUUCGCCAUUUAAAGCGGUACGCGAGCUGGGUUUAGAACGUCGUGAGACAGUUCGGUCCCUAUCUGCCGUGGACGUUUGAGAUUUGAGAGGGGCUGCUCCUAGUACGAGAGGACCGGAGUGGACGAACCUCUGGUGUUCCGGUUGUCACGCCAGUGGCAUUGCCGGGUAGCUAUGUUCGGAAAAGAUAACCGCUGAAAGCAUCUAAGCGGGAAACUUGCCUCAAGAUGAGAUCUCACUGGGAACUUGAUUCCCCUGAAGGGCCGUCGAAGACUACGACGUUGAUAGGCUGGGUGUGUAAGCGUUGUGAGGCGUUGAGCUAACCAGUACUAAUUGCCCGUGAGGCUUGACC